AGGGUUUGAUUCUGGCUCAGGAUGAACGCUAGCUACAGGCUUAACACAUGCAAGUCGCGGGGCAGCAUGUCGGUUGCUUGCAACCGAUGAUGGCGACCGGCGCACGGGUGAGUAACGCGUAUCCAACCUGCCCUUCACCACGGAAUAAUCCAGUGAAAAUUGGUCUAAUACCGUAUGAGGUCAUACGAUGGCAUCAGAAUAUGACGAAAGGUUUAGCGGUGAAGGAUGGGGAUGCGUCUGAUUAGCUUGUUGGUGAGGUAACGGCUCACCAAGGCGACGAUCAGUAGGGGUUCUGAGAGGAAGGUCCCCCACAUUGGAACUGAGACACGGUCCAA
rnacentral:rRNA from 1 species